UAUCAAUAAGCGGAGGAAAAGAAACCAACCGGGAUUGCCUUAGUAACGGCGAGUGAAGCGGCAAAAGCUCAAAUUUGAAAUCUGGUACCUUCGGUGCCCGAGUUGUAAUUUGGAGAGGGCAACUUUGGGGCCGUUCCUUGUCUAUGUUCCUUGGAACAGGACGUCAUAGAGGGUGAGAAUCCCGUGUGGCGAGGAGUGCGGUUCUUUGUAAAGUGCCUUCGAAGAGUCGAGUUGUUUGGGAAUGCAGCUCUAAGUGGGUGGUAAAUUCCAUCUAAAGCUAAAUAUUGGCGAGAGACCGAUAGCGAACAAGUACAGUGAUGGAAAGAUGAAAAGAACUUUGAAAAGAGAGUGAAAAAGUACGUGAAAUUGUUGAAAGGGAAGGGCAUUUGAUCAGACAUGGUGUUUUGUGCCCUCUGCUCCUUGUGGGUAGGGGAAUCUCGCAUUUCACUGGGCCAGCAUCAGUUUUGGUGGCAGGAUAAAUCCAUAGGAAUGUAGCUUGCCUCGGUAAGUAUUAUAGCCUGUGGGAAUACUGCCAGCUGGGACUGAGGACUGCGACGUAAGUCAAGGAUGCUGGCAUAAUGGUUAUAUGCCGCCCGUCUUGAAACACGGACCA
rnacentral:rRNA from 1 species